CCGGACUAUUUUGACGGCUGCCGACAAAAUACCCGUCGAAAAUGGCGCCUGUCGUGUUCCUCCAGCUGUGCUUGCUACCCACCGUUUUGCUGUUUGUUGCCGCUUUGCUGUUUUAUCUGCGGGUGACACGGUUUCAAGACCAACGAAAAAGAAAGUGCGUGAAGCUGCGAAUCAAGACCGUCCGCGACAAACCUAUGGGAACGGGCGCCCAAGGAAGGAUCCCAAGAUGGCAGAUUCCGGUCCCAUCAGAAAGGACAACGCCUGCGACGAAGCUUGCCCAUUACGAACACUAGGUGACGACGUCAGACGUGGACGCCAUCCAAAUGGCCAGCUUGAUUCCUGCUUACCCAUACGAAGCUGCACUGUGGUCACGUGGCCAACUGGUUCUUCAUCGCCCUAUCUUAUCUCCAACAAAGGGAACGGCACGACCAGGGACGAGAAGUGCCUGGUACACGACAUCCAAGCACAAGGCCAACUUCCUGACCGGGUUCCGAACGGACAUCUUCAAGCAGGAGUGAACCACCGACAGCGAGCUGGCUGCUAAAAAGGUAGCACCUAUCAGCAAAAUCAAGAGCUGGGCAUCCAUGGAAAGUACAAAUACAGCUCCCGGCUGCCAUUGCGCUACCUCUUCACCUUUCUGACGCACGCGUGAAGCUUGG
rnacentral:lncRNA from 1 species